UACGUAGGCAGCGAGCGUUGUUCGGAAUUACUGGGCGUAAAGCGCACGUAGGUGGCGACGUAAGUCGGGUGUGAAAGCCCCGGGCUCAACCUGGGAAUUGCAUUCGAGACUGCAUUGCUGGAGUACGGAAGAGGAAGGCGGAAUUCCCGGUGUAGCGGUGAAAUGCGUAGAUAUCGGGAGGAACAUCAGUGGCGAAGGCGGCCUUCUGGUCCAGUACUGACACUCAAGUGCGAAAGCGUGGGGAGCAAACAGG
rnacentral:rRNA from 1 species